GCAGUAGCCACGGGAAUACAAGGGGGGCAAGCGUUGUUCGGAAUUAUUGGGCGUAAAGGGUGCGUAGGCGGUUUGAUAAGUCUUGUGUGAAAUCUCUGGGCUCAACCCAGAGUCUGCACAGGAAACUGUCGGGCUUGAGUAUUGGAGAGGUGAGUGGAAUUUCCGGUGUAGCGGUGAAAUGCGUAGAUAUCGGAAGGAACACCUGUGGCGAAAGCGGCUCACUGGACAAUUACUGACGCUGAUGCACGAAAGCUAGGGGAGCAAACAGGAUUAGAUACCCCUGUAGUCCCUGUCUCUUAUAC
rnacentral:rRNA from 1 species